GGUGCACUAAAUUUUAUUCAUAUGGUAGUUUAAAAUAAACUAUGCAUAUGAAUCAGUAAGAGAUUGCAGAAUUAGAUCAAUCUGUAAUUCUUUAUCCAAGGACAUCCCAAGCUUCUCAAGCUCCUCCAAAUCCUUGAUCAUUAUCAAAUAAUGUUCAUGGACAAACUGCCCAUCUUGCAUCUUCACCUUGAAGAGUCUCUUAAAUACUUCGUAGUGAGCCACAUGACUCUGCUC
rnacentral:lncRNA from 1 species